GAUGAACGCUGGCGGCGUGCCUAAUACAUGCAAGUCGAGCGAACAGAUGAGGAGCUUGCUCCUCUGACGUUAGCGGCGGACGGGUGAGUAACACGUGGAUAACCUACCUAUAAGACUGGGAUAACUUCGGGAAACCGGAGCUAAUACCGGAUAAUAUAUUGAACCGCAUGGUUCAAUAGUGAAAGACGGUUUUGCUGUCACUUAUAGAUGGAUCCGCGCCGCAUUAGCUAGUUGGUAAGGUAACGGCUUACCAAGGCAACGAUGCGUAGCCGACCUGAGAGGGUGAUCGGCCACACUGGAACGGAGACACGGUCCAGACUCCUACGGGAGGCAGCAGUAGGGAAUCUUCCGCAAUGGGCGAAAGCCUGACGCAGCAACGCCGCGUGAGUGAUGAAGGUCUUCGGAUCGUAAAACUCUGUUAUUAGGGAAGAACAAAUGUGUAAGUAACUAUGCACGUCUUGACGGUACCUAAUCAGAAAGCCACGGCUAACUACGUG
rnacentral:rRNA from 1 species